rnacentral:rRNA from 1 species
UACGUAGGGCGCAAGCGUUGUCCGGAAUUAUUGGGCGUAAAGAGCUCGUAGGCGGUUUGUCGCGUCUGCCGUGAAAGCCCGGGGCUUAACUCCGGGUCUGCGGUGGAUACGGGCAGACUAGAGGCAGGUAGGGGAGAACGGAAUUCCCGGUGUAGCGGUGGAAUGCGCAGAUAUCAGGAGGAACACCAAUAGCGAAGGCAGCUCGCUGGGACGGUACUGACGCUAAGGCGCGAAAGCGUGGGGAGCGAACAGG